AAAAGUAGCGCUGCAGCCGACCGAACCGCGUCCUCCCGCCCCGUCCUCCCCUCCCCCACGCCGGGACGGCCUCCCGGGGGAGGCCCCGAGGAAAAAAAUCCAGGCUCGAACUCCGCCCCCUGCCGGCCGCCAGCAGGAGUGAAGCGCCACAAUCCAACAAUGAAAUGGAACCGGGGAGGGGCGGCGGGAAGAUACAGCUCUGGUGAUGUGAUUUCUCUUAGAAAAUCUACAGUGACUAGGAGGGACUGAAACUUAAGGAACAGAAGUGAAAGGAGACUGUGAAUUAUCUUUGGUGGCCUCUUGAAUUGUGUACUGCAAGAAUGCUUUAUAUAUUUUAAAAAUAAAUGACAUUUUAAUUGAAGCAGAAACACCAGUGAGAUGUUAUUAGCUGACAGAGUGUAACUAAGUUUGGCAUGAAGUCCUUUGUUUUGUUUUGUU
rnacentral:lncRNA from 10 species